UACGUAGGGGGCAAGCGUUGUCCGGAAUUACUGGGCGUAAAGCGCGUGUAGGCGGGACGGUUAGUCGGACGUGAAAGGCUGGGGCUCAACCCCAGAUCGCCGUUCGAAACUGCCGUUCUUGAGGGUCGAAGAGGAGAGUGGAAUUCCUGGUGUAGCGGUGAAAUGCGUAGAGAUCAGGAGGAACACUCAUGGCGAAGGCAGCUCUCUGGUCGACAUCUGACGCUGAGACGCGAAAGCGUGGGGAGCGAACGGG
rnacentral:rRNA from 1 species